UUGACACCAGCACCUCCUUCGACGCUCUCUGACCUGAGCUCAUUCUCUCUCACUCUUGCCUCCUUCCCCUCAUGCUCUAUUUCCAUGGCUACUGUCUCUCCCUCAUUAACCACCUCCGUCCCCUCACCGGCGCCAUCGCCUCUGCGGGCAAGCUCUCUCUGGCCGCAAGUUGGUGCUUCUCGUCCAACAGAAGGCGGAGUGGCGGGAGAGGAAACGCGCCCGACGCAGGAAGCGACGGGAAUCCGGAUCCGACGGUGAAACCGGGUCGAGGUCCGAGAAGAAGAAAAUCAGAAGAAAGAGAGGAAAAUGGAGAGAGAAGAAGACGACCCAGUGAGCGAGGUUCUCAGAGAUCGAUUCAGCUUUCCACCAUCUCUAUUGCUGAUGCCGAAGGUACUAAAAUCUUCACACUCAUUAAUUCGACGGCUUUUGAUUUCGUUUCUGGUUUUUUUCUCAGUUUUCAAUUAUAGUUCUCCAAGCAGCGAAGAGAAGGGGCAUGGAGAUAUCAGAACCCGUGGUGGCUUGCAUUUCCGACUUGACCUUCAAAUUUACUGUUCUUAUGGCGCAUAGCACUGAAGUUUUUCAUUGUAUUGACCUGGUGGAAUGGGUAUCUUGAAUUCGAUUCGGUAUCUUGAAUUCUUGCUGUGUUUGAUAGUGUGAAUUUCUCUCAGGUAGUUGCUGGGGUUUCUUUGGGCACCCAAAAUAUAAUGGUGCAAGGUUUGCUGCUUGUAUAAUAUUUGUGGGACUGAUGUUGAUUAAGGUCCAGUUGUUCAUGCCUUUGCGAUAGUUACUCUGAACUCAGCUUUCUUCUAUGUAGACAAAAGGAAGGUUGAAUCUGAGGUCAGUUGACUCAUAUGUAUCUAUUUUUAUCAUCUUCUCAGGCAAUAUUCAUAUGGUGGUGAAUACUGGUUUUCAGUUUGAACUUAUCAAGACUCUGGUAAUAAUAGAUGAAUUUACUAUUGGCCCUCACAAAUUAUGUAUGUGAUUACUGAAACCACGGAACAUGAUUUCUAGAAUGCACAAAACAGGUCGCCCUGUACUUGUUGGCACAACUAGUGUUGAGCAGAGUGAUUCAUUGUCUGAGCAUUUGCAAGAAGUUGGCAUUCCCCAUAAGGUCGAGGAACAGACAUAAUCCUUGGUGGGAAUGCAGAAUUUAUGGUGAGGUUGCGUGAGAUGCUUAUGCCAAGAGUUGUAAAACUAACUGAAGGACUCAGUGAAAAAACUUCUGCCGAAAAAGUCCUAGAAGAAUGUUUUUUUUCAAGUUAAUGAAAAGCUAUUUCCAUGCAAACUGUCCAAUGAAAAGACCAAGUUAGCUGAGGAAGCUGUGAAUUUAGCUGUUGAAACUUGGGGUCAGAGAUUAUUGACGGAGCUAGAAGCAGAGGAGCGUCUUUCUUACUCUUGCGAAAAGGGACCUGCUUUGGAUGAAGUGAUAUAUACCCCAAAUCUCAAUUAUUCAACUCAGUCCAGGUAUAUUAUUCUUUUCCAGCCUUUAGGGACUGUCAAGUUCGGGUCAUGCUGAGUAUUGGGUGUUUUUAGUGGUUCUCACUGGUAGUAACAGGAUUGUCCGAGUUUUGUGAGACAUUUUAUAGAAUGGAAAUAGCAUAGGGCUAUUGGUUCGAUAUAACGUAGUAGCAACCUUACAUCUGGAAUGAACCAUAUGUGAUAUUAUUAAUUUGGAACUGAAAUCAAGAACUUUCAGAGAAUGUUAAUGUUUGAAUGUACCAUGUGUUGUUAAUGUAACUGCCCUUUUAUCACAUUUAUUGAUGUUUCUCUUUCUAUUACAUGCAUGUUGCUGUGUUAAUUGAUUGAACCUAGUCAUGCAUUGUUAAAAUAUACUUUAUCAAGGAGAGUAACAAACAUCUCCUUUGA